rnacentral:rRNA from 1 species
GACGAACGCUGGCGGCGUGCUUAACACAUGCAAGUCGAACGGAAAGGCCCUGCUUUUGUGGGGUGCUCGAGUGGCGAACGGGUGAGUAACACGUGAGUAACCUGCCCUUGACUUUGGGAUAACUUCAGGAAACUGGGGCUAAUACCGGAUAGGAGCUCCUGCUGCAUGGUGGGGGUUGGAAAGUUUCGGCGGUUGGGGAUGGACUCGCGGCUUAUCAGCUUGUUGGUGGGGUAGUGGCUUACCAAGGCUUUGACGGGUAGCCGGCCUGAGAGGGUGACCGGCCACAUUGGGACUGAGGUACGGCCCAGACUCCUACGGGAGGCAGCAGUGGGGAAUAUUGCACAAUGGGCGGAAGCCUGGUGCAGCAACGCCGCGUGCGGGAUGACGGCCUUCGGGUUGUAAACCGCUUUCGCCUGUGACGAAGAGUGAGUGACGGUAAUGGGUAAAGAAGCACCGGCUAACUACGUG